GUAUUUGCUUCGGCAGUAGGUACAUCUACUAAACUUUCAACGAUACAGAGAAGAUUAGCAUGGCCCUUGCGCAAGGAUGACAUGCAAAAUCGUGAAGCGUUCCAAAUUUUU
rfam:Bombyx mori DNA, contig: Bm_scaf57_contig28121, strain: p50T/Dazao, build 2, whole genome shotgun sequence.